rfam:Pristionchus pacificus strain PS312 contig610, whole genome shotgun sequence.
UCUUCAUUUCACACGCUCUCUCACCGAUCAGAGUGACGAGAAAGUGUGCAAAAUGAAGAGA